GAUGAACGCUGGCGGCGUGCCUAACACAUGCAAGUCGAACGAAGCAUCCUAGAGGAAGUUUUCGGAUGGAAUCCGGGAUGACUGAGUGGCGGACGGGUGAGUAACGCGUGGGUAACCUGCCCUGUACUGGGGGACAACAGUUAGAAAUGACUGCUAAUACCGCAUAAGCGCACAGGACCGCAUGGUUCGGUGUGAAAAACUCCGGUGGUACAGGAUGGACCCGCGUCUGAUUAGGUAGUUGGCGGGGUAACGGCCUGCCAAGCCGACGAUCAGUAGCCGACCUGAGAGGGUGACCGGCCACAUUGGGACUGAGACACGGCCCAA
rnacentral:rRNA from 1 species